GAUGAACGCUGGCGGCGUGCUUAACACAUGCAAGUCGAACGAUGAUCCCAGCUUGCUGGGGGAUUAGUGGCGAACGGGUGAGUAACACGUGAGUAACCUGCCCUUGACUCUGGGAUAAGCCUGGGAAACUGGGUCUAAUACCGGAUAUGACCGUCUGACGCAUGUCAGGUGGUGGAAAGCUUUUGUGGUUUUGGAUGGAC
rnacentral:rRNA from 1 species